rnacentral:rRNA from 1 species
UACGUAGGUGACAAGCGUUGUCCGGAUUUACUGGGCGUAAAGAGCGCGCAGGCGGUCGUUCAAGUCGAGUGUGAAAGCCCCCGGCUCAACUGGGGAGGGUCACUCGAUACUGAUCGACUCGAAGGCAGGAGAGGGAAGUGGAAUUCCCGGUGUAGUGGUGAAAUGCGUAGAUAUCGGGAGGAACACCAGUGGCGAAGGCGGCUUCCUGGACCGAUCACUGACGCUGAGGCGCGAAAGCUAGGGGAGCAAACGGG